GCAAGUCGAACGGCAGCACGGGUGCUUGCACCUGGUGGCGAGUGGCGAACGGGUGAGUAAUAUAUCGGAACGUGCCCUAGAGUGGGGGAUAACGUAGCGAAAGUUACGCUAAUACCGCAUACGAUCUACGGAUGAAAGUGGGGGAUCGCAAGACCUCAUGCUCGUGGAGCGGCCGAUAUCUGAUUAGCUAGUUGGUGGGGUAAAAGCCUACCAAGGCGACGAUCAGUAGCUGGUCUGAGAGGACGACCAGCCACACUGGGACUGAGACACGGCCCAGACUCCUACGGGAGGCAGCAGUGGGGAAUUUUGGACAAUGGGGGAAACCCUGAUCCAGCAAUGCCGCGUGUGUGAAGAAGGCCUUCGGGUUGUAAAGCACUUUUGUCAGGAACGAAACGGUGGGAGCUAAUACCUCCUGCUAAUGACGGUACCUGAAGAAUAAGCACCGGCUAACUACGUGCCAGCAGCCGCGGUAAUACGUAGGGUGCGAGCGUUAAUCGGAAUUACUGGGCGUAAAGCGUGCGCAGGCGGUUGUGCAAGACAGAUGUGAAAUCCCCGGGCUUAACCUGGGAAUUGCAUUUGUGACUGCACGGCUAGAGUGUGUCAGAGGGGGGUAGAAUUCCACGUGUAGCAGUGAAAUGCGUAGAUAUGUGGAGGAAUACCGAUGGCGAAGGCAGCCCCCUGGGAUAACACUGACGCUCAUGCACGAAAGCGUGGGGAGCAAACAGGAUUAGAUACCCUGGUAGUCCACGCCCUAAACGAUGUCUACUAGUUGUCGGGUCUUAAUUGACUUGGUAACGCAGCUAACGCGUGAAGUAGACCGCCUGGGGAGUACGGUCGCAAGAUUAAAACUCAAAGGAAUUGACGGGGACCCGCACAAGCGGUGGAUGAUGUGGAUUAAUUCGAUGCAACGCG
rnacentral:rRNA from 1 species